rnacentral:rRNA from 1 species
UACGGAGGGAGCUAGCGAUGUUCGGAAUUACUGGGCGUAAAGCGCACGUAGGCGGCUUUUUAAGUCAGAGGUGAAAUCCCGGGGCUCAACCUCGGAACUGCCUUUGAAACUGGAAAGCUAGAAUCUUGGAGAGGCGAGUGGAAUUCCGAGUGUAGAGGUGAAAUUCGUAGAUAUUCGGAAGAACACCAGUGGCGAAGGCGACUCGCUGGACAAGUAUUGACGCUGAGGUGCGAAAGCGUGGGGAGCAAACAGG